CACGGAGUUAGCCGAUCCUUAUUCCUUCGGUACAUUCAGCUACUUACACGUAAGUAGGUUUAUUCCCGAAUAAAAGCAGUUUACAACCCAGAGGGCCGUCUUCCUGCACGCGGCAUGGCUGGUUCAGAGUUGCCUCCAUUGACCAAUAUUCCUUACUGCUGCCUCCCGUAGGAGUCUGGUCCGUGUCUCAGUACCAGUGUGGGGGGUCAUCCUCUCAGAUCCCCUAGUCAUCGUGGUCUUGGUGGGCCGUUACCCCGCCAACUAACUAAUGACACGCAUGCCCAUCUUUAUCCUAUAAAUAUUUGAUCAUUGUACGAUGCCGUACUGUGAUUUUAUGCGGUGUUAAUCCGAAUUUCUUCGGGCUAUCCCCCAGAUAAAGGUAGGUUGCAUACGCGUUACGCACCCGUGCGCCGGUCUCAAGGAAAGCAAGCUCUCCUCUACCCCUCGACUUGCAUGUAUUAGGCCUGCCGCUAGCGUUCAUCCUGAGCCAGGAUCAAACUC
rnacentral:rRNA from 1 species